rnacentral:lncRNA from 1 species
CUAUAUCUUCAUCUUACUUCGUUUGUGCUUAGGGUCAUUCACGUUUGUCGAUGCAUCUCUAUUGUGCCUCUUUUGUGUGUGUGGUGUUUCAUUCCACAUUGCAUCGAAUCACGUGCAUUCUUCAUAUUACUUAUUAGUUUUGUCUCUACGAAUGCCAGAUGGCCCGUAAGCGUUCUCGAUCCUCUGCACAGCCAGCUAGUGGUUCGACGUCGUAUAGUCGUUCCAGAUUCAUUUCUGCUACAGCUCAGGAAGUCUUCACUUCUCAGUUCUCCUUACGCCCCGUUCUCGUGGAGCGUGAGGUAAUCUUAUCUGAUCUUCCUGUUGAUAUAG